AAUAUCGUACAUGUAAAAUACCAUAUUAUGUUCUCUCUUUUUUUUUUUUUUCCCCAACUUUACCAUAUUAUAUUCACUAACCAAUAGCCGUACUCUCGCCCAAUCUCAAAACCCUAACCUUCGACCUCUGGGCUCUGACCGAGCAGCUAUUUCGUAAAGGGGAAAUGAGUAGCCGCGCGAGCAGGACUCUCUAUGUUGGGAAUCUGCCUGGCGACAUUCGUGAGAGAGAAGUGGAGGAUUUAUUCUACAAGUAUGGAUCCAUAGCACACAUUGAUCUCAAGAUCCCACCAAGGCCACCUGGAUAUGCAUUUGUUGAGUUUGAAGAGGCUCGAGAUGCGGAAGAUGCAAUUCGCGGUCGUGAUGGCUAUGAUUUAGAUGGGCAUCGCUUACGGGUGGAGCUUGCACAUGGUGGGCGUGGACAUUCUUCCUCAGAUCGCCACAGUAGUUACAGUGGUGGUCGUGGAAGAGGAGUGUCCAGGCGCUCUGAGUAUCGUGUUUUGAUCACUGGGUUGCCCUCAUCUGCUUCAUGGCAAGACCUUAAGGAUCACAUGCGACGUGCAGGUGAUGUCUGUUUCUCUCAAGUGUUCCGUGAUGGUAGUGGUACCACAGGGAUUGUGGAUUACACAAACUACGAAGACAUGAAGUCAGCAAUCAAGAAACUUGAUGACUCUGAGUUUCGAAAUGCGUUUUCUCGGGCAUAUGUCCGUGUGAGAGAAUAUGAUUCCAAGCGUGACAUCUCUAGGAGCCCUGGUCGUGGCCGAUCUCAUUCAAGAGGCUGUAGUGACAGCCGCAGCUGUGGCCGAAGUUCUAGCCGGAGCAGGAGCCGGAGUAAAUCUCCUAAAACCAAAUCUUCACGCCGCUCACCUGUUAGGUCAAGAUCAAGAUCCAGAUCUAGAUCUGUUUCUCGGUCUCGCUCUGGGUCGCCAAAGCCCCGUUCUUUGUCAAGCAAACUGGGGAUUGGAUAAUAGGAUCUUGAUGGGAUAUGUUCAGUUCCUGCAUCUUUUUUGGGUUGUUGAGGUAUGCUGUUUUUCUGAUGGACAGCUCUGGAAACCUUCAUGGUGUUUCUUAUCUAAUGUAUUUAGCAUGGUAAAUGUCCGUGGGUGCUAGCAUGGGACAAUGGAGAUUAUGGAAUAUGGAUUGCAUUAGUAAAGCUGGAUUGCAGUGAACUAACUGCAAGUGGAUCUGGAAGUCACCAGCAAUGAGUGGUAGAAACUAUUUCAUUAUCAUUUUCUACUCCAACAGUUGCCAAGCUAAUAGGACCUGCUAGCUGGACUCACUAUGGAUUUUGUGGUACAGUAGGGAAGCAUGCUUCUUUUCUGUGCAACUGUGUCUUGGAAACCUAUUAUAAUUCUUUAGUUGAGAUUUUUUUUUCUCCAUUUUGUUUGGUAUUUUGUUUUGGUGGGAAUUUUAUGAAUUGGCCUGAUUUUUUUUUUCUUGAAUUGCUAAAAGAUUUAUGGCUCUUCCUUUUAUGCCUUUUGAAUUUGGUAACUCUGACGUGGAAGUGGCAUGAAGGCUCUUCGAUGAGAGUUCUUAAAAGGAACGUGUGGAUUUUAAAUUUGGGUUGUUUCUUGGAACUUUUGCAGAUCGCAUUCAAGAUCAAGAUCUCCACUUCCAUCUCGUCAGAAACGCACGAGUAAGAGUCCAAGAAAACAGAGUGUGAGCCGGAGCCAAAGUGGCAGCAGAAGCAGGAGCAGGAGCAGGAGCAGGAGCAAAA